rnacentral:rRNA from 1 species
AUGGCGACCGGCGCACGGGUGAGUAACACGUAUCCAACCUGCCGAUAACUCGGGGAUAGCCUUUCGAGAGAAAGAUUAAUACCCGAUGGUAUAAUCAGACCGCAUGGUUUGAUUAUUAAAGAAUUUCGGUUAUCGAUGGGGAUGCGUUCCAUUAGGCAGUUGGUGAGGUAACGGCUCACCAAACCUUCGAUGGAUAGGGGUUCUGAGAGGAAGGUCCCCCACAUUGGAACUGAGACACGGUCCAA